rnacentral:rRNA from 1 species
CGCAGCCGCGGUAAUUCCAGCUCCAAUAGCGUAUAUUAAAGUUGUUGCAGUUAAAAAGCUCGUAGUUGAAUUUCGAGAUCAAAUUGUUGGUCGUGCCUUGGUACGCACUGGUAUUAUUGGUUUCUCCCUUCCGAAGAACCAAGAUGUCAUUAAUUUGGUGUCUUGGGGAAUCAGGACUGUUACUUUGAAAAAAUUAGAGUGUUUAAAGCAGGCUCGCGCUUGAAUACAUUAGCAUGGAAUAAUGAAAUAGGACGUUUGAUUCUAUUUUGUGGUUUCUAGGAUCGACGUAAUGAUUAAUAGGGAUAGUUGGGGGCAUUAGUAUUCAAUUGUCAGAGGUGAAAUUCUUGGAUUUAUUGAAGACUAACUACUGCGAAAGCAUUUGCCAAGGAUGUUUUCAUUAAUCAAGAACGAAAGUUAGGGGAUCGAAGACGAUCAGAUACCGUCGUAGUCUUAACCAUAAACUAUGCCGACUAGGGAUCGGAUGAUGUUAAUUUUAUAAUGACUCAUUCGGCGCC